GUAUCGGGUGUCGUCACAGCAAACAUGGUGCUUGCUCAAAGCGAAGCCGAAGCGAAGCGGGGACGCGAGGUCUAAGCUACAGCCGUGUCAGAAGUAGUAUUUUUCUCCUUCUUAUGAUUUUUACUAGAGUUAUCUGGCACCCACGGAGAUAGUCACCGAAGGCAGCAAGCCGGUGCACCCUUCCAGGCCUCGUCAGUGCGUGCGAUCGCCUAGAGGAACAGACGGAGCGCAGGAAGUGUGUUGUGUUUACGAGAGCGUCGGAAGAAGUAUUUGAAGCCGUCGACUUCGUGAUUUUUUUGUUCCACGCUUCGCGUGCCCGUCGCAAACGAGUAGUCUAUCACAUACACGUGCAUUCUCAGCAGGACACAUGUUCAGUGCGUGGCGAAAUAAGCAGUGUACGAUUGGCGCACCCAGCGAACACGAAUGAUAUCCGUUCUGUUUAUGCGGUUCGUUGCCGCGAAGUGGUGAACGGCAGCCCUUCGCAACUUUCAGAAGUAAUGAUACGAUCAGUAGCGAUAAGCUUUUAUUGCCUCGUUAUCGCUGCCAUUCAGCGUGUGAGCCGUUUCGCCGGCAGCGAUGCCCAGAGGUGACCGCGACGUUCGAGCGGUGUUCUUGCUGUUACGGAAUGUGUUCGCAAGCUACAAACCGUGACAUAUAUGUGCGAUGUGUCGCAGCGUUGCUGGGUGUAGAAGUGCUCGAUCUACGCGAUGUGCGUGUGCUCAGAAGUGAACUGUGCAGAAGUGUUGCCGAUCGCAUUUUCAUAUUUAGUGCCAUUACAGAUAAGCCCUAUCACACCGGCCUUUUCUGCUUUGUGCAUGUAUCGUUUGUUUCAGAAGUUGUUACUGCAAUUUCGAAGGUGGUUCUAUUGUGGGGGAGUUUAGGGAACAUCAUAAUAGUAACGUGCGUUAGGACAUAAAGCCUUGUCCUGAAAUGUGGACGCGCCGGACAGCACUAAUGCCAUGAAUGAAACUUUCGGGCAGCCUUUUUUAUCACGUGGAAAUUGGUAUGAAUAGCAAGAAUUUCAAGAUUUCACGAAGUAAAUUGCUUUAUAUUUUGUCAUGCAAGUGUCUUACAUAUACACAAAAAUCCUAACUGCAUUUUUUUUUUUUUUUUGCUGGUGACUAAGCAAAGAGUCUGUUUGUGAUGACACCAGUGGCUUGGUAGAUGAAUACGUUAUAGGUAAGAACUGGUUAUUUCCUUCUUAUUAACUACAAAUUCCACAUUCGCUGACAAAAGGCAAUAUGAAUGUAAAAAUGAACACGUAAGACUAGUAACAAAUAAUUAAGUGUCACAGGCACGGUGAUAUAUGAUAUUCAGCUAGCAGCCAGCAGAAAUACGCGAAUGAAAUUUUGCCUGCAGUUCAUCCUCACUGGUUAGCUAUGGUCACGUUACUGAUGCAGGCAGAAUUGGAUUGCCCACAUCACGACACACCAAGAAGUCGACUUAAAUCAACCCUGUAGCAUCGUCAAGAAAAGCCAACCUACAAGCAGCGCACCCUACGUGCAUUACGCAAGAAUCCUGGUACGACACCUGGGCUAGAGGGGAGAGGGCCACGGGAAGCGCGGCGCUCGGCACAGAGUGGAAUAAACGUUCCUUUGAGUUUUAUCCGAGUCUAGUCUUCUUCUCAUCAUCAGCAGCAGCAGCCUGGUUAUGCCCACUGCAGGGCAAAGGCCUCACCCAUACUUCUCCAGCCACCCCGGUCAUGUACUAAUUGUGGCCAUGUCGUCGCUGCAAACUUCUUAGUCUCAUCCACCCGCCUAACUUUCUUCCGCCCCCUGCUACGCUUCCCUUCCCUUGGAAUCCAGUCCGUAACCCUUAAUGACCAUCGGUUAUCUUCCCUCCUCUAUACAUGUCCUGCCCAUGCCCAUUUAUUUUUCUUGAUUUCAACUAAGACGUCAUUAACUCGCGUUUGUUCCCUCACCCAAUCUGCUCUUUUCUUAUCCCUUAACAUUACACCCAUUAUUCUUCUUUCCAUAGCUCAUUGUGUCGUCCUCAGUUUAAGUAGAACCCUUCUCGUAAGCCUCCAGGUUUCUUCCCCGUACGUGAGUACUCGUAAGAUUAAGCUGUUAUGCACUUUUCUCUUGAGGGAUAAUGGCAGCCUGCUGCUCAUGAUCUGAGAAUGCCUGCCAAACGCACCCCAGCCCAUUCUUAUUCUUCUGAAUAUUGCAGUCUCAUGAUCCGGAUCCACAGUGACCACCUGCCCUAAGUAGAUGUAUUCCCUUACCACUUCCAGUGCCUCACUACGUAUUGUAAACUGCUGUUCUCUUCCGAGACUGUUAAACAUUACUUUAGUUUUCUGCAGAUAAAUUUUUAGUCCCACCCUUCUGCUUUGCCUGUCCAGGUCAGUGAGCAUGCAUUGCAAUUGGUCCCCUGAGGUACUAAGCAAGGCAAUAUCAUCAGCGAAUCGCAAGUUACUAAGGUAUUCUCCAUUAACUCUUAUCUCCAAUUCUUCCCAAUCCAGGUCUCUCAAUACCUCCUGUAAGCACUCUGUGAAUAGCAUUGGAGAGAUCGUAUCACCCUGCCGGACGCCUUUCUUUAUUGGCAUUUUGUUGCUUUCUUUACGGUGGACUACGGUGGCUGUGGAGCCGCUAUAGAUAGCUUUCAGUAUUUUUACAUGCGGCUCGUCUACACCGUGAUUCUGUAAUGCCUCCAUGACUGCUGAUGCUUCGACUGAAUCAAAAGCUUUCUCGUAAUCAAUGAAAGCUAUAUAUAUAAGGGUUGGUUAUAUUCCGCACAUUUCUCUAUCACCUGAUUGAUAGUGUGAAUAUGGUCUAUUGUUGAGUAGCCUCUACGGAAUCCUGCCUGUUCCUUUGGUUUACAUAAGUCUAAGGUGUUCGUGAUUCUAUUUGCGAUUACCUUAGUAAAUACAUUGAAGGCAACGGACAGUAAGCUGAUCAGUCUAUAAUUUUUCAAAUCUUUGGCGUCCCCUUUCUUGUGGAUUAGGAUUAUGUUGGCGUUCUACCAAGAUUCCGGUACGCUCGAGGUGUCUUAUCUUGAACAGAGACAACUCCCGCGCCGGGAGCAGACAUUACAAACCCCAAUUAAGUUAGACAGCAGGCCUUUAAGUUUAAGGAAACUUUUGGGUCCUUGGCCAACAACGUCCUCGCAGAAGAGCGCGUUAAAAGCUCUAAAGACUUUCCUUGAAGACAGCGGCAUUGUUCGACGGUAUGAACGCUUUUAUUGUUCCCUUCAUUUCAAUAUCGCUGUAUAUAUGCAUGUGUUUGUGAAUUAUGUUAUGUUGACUGUACUGUUGUGACUAUAUGUGAUAAUGCAUUUACAUGAUGUAUGUACCACCCGCAGACUAGAUGCUGUGUUAUUAGGCAAUAGUAUCAUUUGUAUCUUUGCGAUUUUUAUCCACAUAACUGUGGAGACGUUUAUCUUGUAUAUUGUAUGUAGCAUGUGUUUCUGACGUCACAGUCUUCCUGGGAAAACGUUGCAUGACAAAUCCUGGUGCUUGUGUGAAAGAAUUAUUUGGUAUGUAAUCUUCAACCCUGUAUGUUGUAUGACAGAACCACUCAAGAGAUAAGGAGUAGCCGGCACAUUAAAUUGUGCGCCAACAUCUCCAUAUAUCAUAUCAGUAAAAAAGAAGUGCUUUACUUUC